UUUUUUGUGUUUUACACCGCACGCUCCUGACUAUACUGAUAUUUUUCCAGUAUUCUCACACAACAUCGAAUUUGACAUUUGGGGUUUUGUGGGGCAUGGAUUGCUUGCUCAAUAUUUACUUCGGGACUUCGGGACUUGGGGGGGAUAUUUUAUUCUCCUGGGCAGUAGGCUGUGCUUGUUCACUCCAAUCAAACACGAAUCAGUCCUUAUGAUGGCCUAUUCGAUCAGCUAAUGUCGGCAUCCGUUCCUGGAUGUGGUCGGUAAUCUUUUAGCACGAAUAAGAGUUAUGGAAAAAGUGGCAUUGCGACAGUGCGUAUCAUACGAAUCAGUGUCCUGGGAUGGAGGCGACGCGACGCUGCUGGGCCAUUGUCCGGCUGCUAAUUUAUCGGGAUAAUUGCCAAAUGACCAAAUGGGGAGGAGAGUGGUGGAAGGAGCAGAGCCAAGACCAGGAGCAGGAGCACGACUGGUCGUGGGCAAGUAAAGUGAUCUUUGGGUGCCCAUAUUGUACUCAUAUGAGCCGAACAAGCGAAGCGAGUGAGCCAGGGAAAUCGUAUGGAGGCCAAACUUAAUUAAAUGGUUUCUAAAUGG
rnacentral:sRNA from 1 species